CAGAUGAGAUGACACUAGGAGUUUUCGAGAGGAAAAUUUUGCUCAAGAUUUACGGACCUCAGAACAUUGGCAACGGCGAAUACCGCAGACGAUGGAACGAUGAGCUGUACGAGUUAUACGACGACGUUGACAUAGUUCAGCGAAUUAAAAGACAGCGGCUACGCUGGCUAGGUCAUGUUGUCCGAAUGGACGAAAACCCUCCAGCUCUGAAAGUGUGCAAUGCAGUACCCUCCGGAGGAAGCCGAGGAAGGGGAAGGCCUCCACUCCGUUGGAGGGACCAGGUGGAGAGCGACCUGGUUACACUUGGAAUCUCCAACUGGCGCUGAACUGCGAAGGAAAGAGAGGAGUGGCGCGCUCUCAUCGAUGCGGCUAUAACCGGCUAAACGGUUGAACGCCAAUCACAUACAUACAUAUCCGUUGUACGGACGGACGAACGGACGGACAGACAAACAUUCGGAUUUUCACGUGACGAGACACACCCUGACCAUUUUGAUAUAUAUAACCCUAUAUCUAACUCGUUUAGUUUUAUGACUUACAAACAACCGUUAUGUAAACAAAACUAUAAUGCUCUCUUAGCAACUUUUGUCGCGAGAGUAUAAAAAAUAUGAAAUCGGUUAAAAACUCUUUCGGCAAUCCAAGUCAGCGCAAUGACUUUUUCGGGAAAACUUGAUUUCGAGAUAAAUGCGUUUAAAGUUUUAAGUACAAUUUUGUCUAGUGUAGCGGAGCGAGGUGAAAAACGCUAUAACUUCGCUUCUACUGUUUAAAUCUCUAUUAAAAUUUUAGAAUUUUUUUUACCGAUUUCAACAUAUGUAUAUAACCCCUUAAAACACUUCACAGUCUGCCUGUCUGUCCGUCUGUCCGUCCGUCCGUGGAAGCUGUAACUUGAGUAAAAAUUGAGAUAUCUUGAUGAAACUUGAAAGACGGAUACCUUGGCGCCUUAAGAAGGUUUACUUCGAAGAUGGGGGUAGACGGACCACUGCCACGCCCACAAAAUGGCAAUAACCGCAAACAUAUAUAAAGUGUUAUAACUAAGCCAUAAAUAAAGUUAUAAAAGCAAAAUUUGGAAUAAAGGAUCGCACUUGGAAGGGGCAUAUUUGGAUUCAAUUUUAAUAUAAAUUCAACGUCAGGGGUGUCACUUUUUGGCAUCCGAAUCACACUUAGAAAUGUGGAGUGCUUGUCGCACUCACAAACAGCAAGAAAAGAAUAACACAACCAAACGCAUAAAUCGCUUUCCGUGUUUUGUGUUUUUGCAUUUCGUCACUCACUCAAACAGUAAGCGUCGAUUCUAUUUCACCAGACACCCAAAAAUUGUGCGUAGAUAAGAGAACGGCACAAUGCACUGAAAGCAAAUGUGCGAACAGCAACGAUAGAUCACGAAAAUGAAUGCGCAAAAAUGAGCUGUGAGCGAAACACUCACGUUUUACAGUUAUGAGAUCGAGUGUCUUCAACUUUUACAUAUAAUAUAUACAUACAUAAUUACAUAUGAAUAUAUAACACGCAAUGAAGCAGCAAAACACGGCAUUUUAUUUUCAUUUCACAUAUAUGUAUGUAUAUGUGCAUAUUCAAAAACAAAUAUGGCAUGUAUGAAGCUAAUGUAAGAAUAACAAUAAUACACAUGUCUCUCACAUAUUGUUUGUCUCAAGUGUUGUGCUCUCAAUUUCGCUCAUUCCUUUUGCUUUAGCAUUUUCGUCGGCCUCAACUCAAGAAUGAUAGAAGACAAGAUUACGACAUAGUGACGCGCUCAAGACCCACGAAAGGGAAUAGGCAACAUAAGAAUUGUCAAAUGGAAAACGGAAAUGUGAAAAAUAGUGAACCAAAUUGAAUAAUGCGCAGAUAAAAUAUCACAAUGAACGUUAAUCCUAAAAUCGUCAUCUAUAAAAUGAUCCAAUAUAAUAAGGCAUAUUUAUAAUUAAAACAAAACAAACUAGAAUCGACAAUCGAAAUCGAUAACUUGCCAGAUGUAUCUACAGAUCGAUAUUCGUAGUUGCCAGAAUGUUCGAGUGACGAUGUAUCGCUUACAAUCGACUAUAUAAGGGCUGUCGGACUGGCAGCAACACACAGUUCUAAUAAGAGAGUUGUCGAGUGAGGACAAUUCUUAGGAGAGAGUUGUCGAGCAAAGUGUAAACAAGUUAUAAGUUAGAGUUGUAAAUUAGAGUAUUGAGUAAUAAAGUGUUAAGUUUGUUAAAUUGGAAAUAAAGAUUAGUGUAUAGACUUUAAUAAAGAAUAGUGUAUAGACUUAGUGACUUUUAUUUGACAAUCCAGUGAUCGAACUCAGGGUAGAGUUUUAGAGUAAACGACAGAUUUUGGAAAUCCGUUACAAUAUUAUAUAAUACACAAUUUGACCCACAUAUUCGUCAUAUAUAUUGUAACGAAAAUGGCACCAGAACAAACUAGAAUUGACAAUCGAAAUCGAUAACUUGCCAGAUCUAUCCAGACAUCGAUAUUCGUAGUUGCCAGAAUGUUCGAGUGACGAUAACAUGCUAGCAAUCGACUAUAUAAGGGCUGCCGGGCUGGCAGCAACCCACUGUUCUGAUAAGAGAGUUGUCGAGCAAAGUGUAAACAAGUUAUAAGUUAGAGUUGUAAAGUAGAGUAUUGAGUACUAAAAUGGUAAGUUAUAAGGAAUUAGAAAUAAAAAUUAGUGUAUAGCCAUUAAAGUGUGACUUUUAUUUGACAAUCCAGUGAUCGAACUCAGGGUAGAGUUUUAGAGUAAACGACAGAUUUUGGAAAUCCGUUGCAAUAUUGUAUAAAGUCCAUUGAAAGUUGGAAACCAUAAUAUUAGGUUAUAACCACCGAGGUCCUCGUGUUCGAUAUAUGGGGCCUUAAAAACCUGUGGUCCAAUUUUCGGAUUUUUAUAAUGGGGCUGCCAUACUAUUAACAUAGUAUUUGUGCAAAGUUCUGCACCGAUAUUUUCACUAGUGCUUACUUUAUAUAUUGUAAAGUAAACGAUUUAGAUUGUCUUCAAAGUUCUGGUAUAUAGGAAGUAGGCGUGGUUGUGAAUCGAUUUGGCCUAUUUUCACAACAUAUCAUUGGGAUGUAAGGAAACUAUUACAAACCAAUGUCAUUGAAAUCGGUCGAGUAGUUUCUGAGAUAUGGUUUUUGACCCAUAAGUGGGCGAUGCCACGCCCAUUUUUCAUUUAGUAAGCAAAUCUGAGUGCAGCUUUCAUCUGCCAUUUCUUAUGUGAAAUUUAGUGUUUCUGACGUUUUUUGUUAGUGAGUUAACCCACUUUUAGUAAUUUUCAACCUAACUUUUGUAUGGGAGGUGGGCUUGGUUAUGAUCCGAUUUCGUUCGUUUUUGGACUGUAUUAGGAAGUGGCUAAACAAAAGGACUGCUGAAAGUUUGGUUUAUAUAGCUCUAUUGAGUUGCGAGAUAUGUACAAAAAACUUAGUAGGGGGCGGGGCCGCGCCCACUUCCCCAAAAAAAAUUAUAUCCAAAUAUGCCCCUUCAUAGUGCGAUCCUUCAUACCAAAUUUUAUUUCCAUAGCUUUAUUUAUGGCUUAGUUAUGGCACUUUAUGUGUUUUACGUUUUCGCCAUUUUGUGUGCGUGGCAGUGGUCCGAUUUUUGCAUUUUCAAAAGCAACCUUCCUAUGGUGCCAAGAAAUAAGUGUGCCAAGUUUCACCAAGAUAUCUUAAUUUUUACUCAAGUUACAGCUUGCACAGACGGACGGACGGACAACAGACAUUCGGAUUUGAACUCCACUCGUCACCCUGAUCACUUUAGUAUAUAUAUUCCUAUAUCUAACUCGUUUAGUUUUGGGUGUUACAAACAACCGUUAUGUGAACAUAACUAUAAUACUCUCUUUAGCAACUUUUGUUGCGAGAGUAUAAUUAUAUCUUUUGUUACAAAAUGUUUGCUAUUUUGCCAACUUUUUUGUUGGUUGGAAAAGUGAAAAAAAAAUUAUUUUUAUGUGACUUUUUUGUGCUAUUGUUGUUUAAUUCUGCCAUUGCGGACUUCUUUUUCAAGUUAAUACAUUUUUCACUUAGAAUUUUAAAUAAUAAUUAACCACUAGCCUUGAAUUCAGCUCUUUGUUUUGGUUUUAUUGUUUUGUACCACCGUUCAAUUUGUAAAUUUGUCUUUUGUUUUUUGUUUUGCUCGCGUGUUCUGGGGUCGUGAAAGUGACACUCAACAGGAAAUCAAAACCCUAACAAGCUAACUGAAAACGAAUGUCGUAAUCUUGUCUUCUAUCAUUCUUGCCUCAACUCAUGUACAUGCAGAAAAAGAGCACGAAAUCGGUUUGAGCUUGUGCGUAUGAGCAUGUUCGAAAUUAACAGUACAAGGCAACAAGCCAUAUUUUGGUUUGCCGAUCACAAACGUAAACGCACAACUGAUUCGGGUACACUUAUUGUUAGGGUGUACCCUUGCCGUUCUCUGGUAUACACAAUUUUAAAUGGGCGUGGUUUCGCCCACUUAUGGGUCAAAAACCAUGUCUCCGAAACUACUCGACCAAUUUCAAUGAACUCUUAUCUUCGGUUCAUAAUAUUUUAAUAGCCCAAAUGGAUGUAAUUUUUUUGGGAAAGUGGGGCCCCGCCCCAGCUGCACUCAAAUUGGUAUGCAAAAGUUUAAACGGGCGUGGCUCCGCCGACUUAUGAGUCAAAAACCAUAUCUUCGAAACUACCUUAACUGAUUUCAAUGAAAUUCGAAUCAUAAUAUGUAUAUUCCUGGCAUUCCAAUGAUAUGUUGCCAAAAUGGACCAAAUCGAUUGACAACCACGCGAACUUCCCAUAUACCAGAACUUUGAUAACGAUCUGAAUCGUUUUCUUUAUAAUAUAUAAAGUUAGCACUAGUGAACGAAUCAAAUGGACUACAAUAUUGUGGGCGUGGUUGUGUACAUACAAUAAAAAUAUAUUCAAAAUAUAGCGUUGUGAUGCCAAAUAAAUAUUAUGAACCGAAUUUCGUUCGAAAUUGGUCGAGUAAUUUCUUAAAUAUGUUUUUUGAUCUAAUUCAAAUUUUGAACACAUAUUUAAAUUCAGUCCUUCUCUUUAUAUUGAAAUCUAAACUUCGUGGUGUUUUUCCUUAUUGAAUUAAAGUACUUUUAGCAGUUUUCAACAUAACAUUAGUAUAGGAGGUAGUCGUGGUCAUAAUCCGAUUCUGUUCAAUUUCCUAGUAAUUAAUUUCUUAAGUCGGUGGACACGAUUUCUCGAAUAGUUUUGAAGCAAUUUUGUUAAAAUUUGGAAACUUCUUUGAAAUAACAUUAUCUACCUAAUGGAUGAAGGGUUUUAUUUUUAUUACAACUAUUUUUUUAAAGCCAAUAUAUGGCGAAAAUUUUAACAAAAACUUUAGUUUUUUGCCGAAAAUUCUGUCAAAAAUUCAAAUUUUAAUAUUUUUAUGCUCUCGCAACAAAAGUUGCUAAAGAGAGUAUUAUAGUUUUGUUCACAUAACGGUUGUUUGUAACACCUAAAACUAAAAGAGUUAGAUAUAGAGUCAUAUAUACCAAAGUGAUCAGGAUGACGAGUAGAUUUGAAAUCCGGAUGUCUGUCCGUCUGUGCAAGCUGUAACUUGAGUAAAAAUUCAGAUAUCUUGACGAAACUUGGCACAAAUAUUCCUUGUCACCAUAAGAAGAACAAGUUCGAAAAUGCGCAGAUUCGGACCAUUGCCACGCCCACAAAAUGGCGAAAACCAACAACACAUAAAGUGUCAUAACUAAGCCAUAAAUGAAGAUAUAAAAGUAAAAUUUGGAAUAAAGGAUCGCACUAGGAGGGGGCAUAUUUGGAUGUAAUUUUUUUGGGGAAGUGGGCGUGGCCCCGCUCACAAAUCGGUUAUUUGUAUUUAACUCGCAAACUAAUAAAUCUAUAUAAACCAAACAUUCUGCAGUCGGGUCUUUUACACACCCCACCACACACCAUGAAAAUAGUUGAAAUCGGAUAAUAACCACGCCCACCUCCCAUACAAAGGUUGGGUUGAAAAUUACUGAAAGUGAGUUAACUAACUAACGAAAAACGUCAGAAACACUAAAUUUUGCAGAAGAAAUAGCAGAAGGGAGCUGUACUCAGAUUUUUACAAAAUGAAAAUUGGGCGUGGCAUCGCCCACUUAUGGGUCAAAAACCAUAUCUCAGGAACUACUGGACCGAUUCGAAUGAAAUUCGGUAUAUAAUAUUUUCUUGACACCCUGAUAACACUGACAGAAAAUGGGCGAAAUCGGUUCACAACCACUACUACUUUCCUUAUAACUCAAUUUUGAAAUCCAUCCUAUUCCUUCACUUUAUAAUGUAAACAUAAGGAACCAAUGAAGAUAACGGAAUAAAACUUUACACAAUUAGUGCUUAUCAUCUGAGGCUUCACUUGUAAAAAAAUUGUCGAAACGGACCAUAACUUUUCAAGGCCCCAGAUAUCGAACAUGUUGAGCGCCUAAGGAUAAAUUUUAACCGAAAAUAUGGGUAAAUCUCUCAGAUAUCUCAAUUUAAUUCAGAGGAAAUUGUUUUCUUCUAAUAGUGUGACUCUGUUCCAAAAAUUAUUAAAAUCGGGUCAUAACAUUUCCAUAUACCUCAUUGUAGGUUUUUCAAAAGUAUCUUUUCCUAGCUCCCAUAUACCUAAUUAUUUUUUCAAAAAUGCGGUGAGCUGCAUUCCUCAUAUAUGUAUUGGUUAAAUUUCUUCAAUAAAUUGCGAGAGUAUAAAAUGUUCGGUUACUCCCGAACUUAGCCUUUCCUUACUUGUUUUUUCUAAGUUCAUUAACUACUUUUAUCCAAGUACUAACGAAAUAUUUUUGGUUUUUUGAUUUUGGUUGAAAUUAGUUAAGCGGAUUUUUUGAGACGUCAAAGGAGAUGCGGUACCAACGGCUGAGUUUACGGAAUUUUUAAAUAAAAAUUUCUAAAUAUGUAAAUCUAAAUAUGUAACUUUGAUAUACUGAAUUGUUUGAAUGAAAUAUGGGAUUUGACUGUUUGAUUUUGACCUUUUUACCAUGGUCAACUCGUUAAUUUACCGUGUCCUUUUAAAAAGGUAUUAUUUCUGUUUCUGUAGCAAAAAAAAAAUGUUUCACACAGCAAAAAAAGUUAUAGAUUUUAGACGGUUUCACAAAGCGUACGUAUGUUUAAAAUUAUGUAAGGACUUUAAUGAGCUAGACUAAAGUGAAUGAAUUGAAAAAUAUGUCAUACCUUAAAUUCGUAUGUUUCUGUGUUUUUUGUGUAACCAAAUUCGUCUUUCGUUUCCUCGACUGUCGAAUACUUUGAAAUGUUUUCCUUGUGUUGAGAUGGUGUUGGUGUAGAUGCUUGUUCAAAAGUGCUUAUGAGAUUUUGUGUUUUCGGUUGUGGGGAAGACUCGGGCUGUGAUUGCUGCUGCUGCAAUUGCUGUUGUUGCAAUUGCUGCUGUUGCAAUUGCUGUUGUUGCAAUUGCUGUUGUU